ACACACACAGAGUCAAAGAUACCAGGGAAUUUCUGCAAAGCGUCUUGAUAAGAGCGUCUCUCUUCAGGGGGAAUCAUGACUCUGAGAGGACUCGUUUUGUGCCUCUUGUUGUGGAGUUCCGCGAGCAGCAGACACGUAGAAAUGCCAGAUGAUGACACCGUGUUUGACCUGUUCGAGCUCACUCAUGUUCAUAAGAAGCAUCAUGGGGUGAGUUUAGAGAAGGGACCCGAUCCAAACAGUACAAGAUCCUGAACCCGAGCCUGAUCCCCUCAGAGCCCGAGCUCUCCUUCAGGGACCUGAUCUACUCCAUUCAGAGCGAGAGAGGCUGCAUCUUCACCGCCAACCUUAAGCAAGCCAAGCGCACCAGAGGCAGCCUGGUCUCCGUGGAGAGGACAGACGGC